rnacentral:rRNA from 1 species
UACGUAGGGCGCAAGCGUUGUCCGGAAUUAUUGGGCGUAAAGAGCUCGUAGGCGGUUUGUCGCGUCUGUCGUGAAAGCUUGGGGCUUAACCCCAAGUCUGCGGUGGAUACGGGCAGACUAGAGGCAGGUAGGGGAGAACGGAAUUCCCGGUGUAGCGGUGAAAUGCGCAGAUAUCGGGAGGAACACCGGUGGCGAAGGCGGGUCUCUGGGCCGAUACUGACGCUGAGGAGCGAAAGCCAGGGUAGCAAACGGG